GGAAUGUGGCUUAAUGGUGAAGUGCUUGCCUUGCAUGUAUGAGGCACUGGGUUCGAUCCUCAGCACCA
rnacentral:tRNA from 1 species